rnacentral:lncRNA from 1 species
CUCUCUGCCAGCUCUCACAGCACACCCACAGCCACUUACACUUAUCAGGUGCUAUGGGGAGAAGUCUGUUGUCCCCACUUGCCUCAAGAUGUCCACAAUUGUUCCUGUACCCAAGAAAGUGAAGAUCCACUGUUCACUUGCCUAUCCCAUCUGGACAAGAAGAAUACCUAUGUAAGAAUGCUGUUUAUUGACUACAGCUCAGCCUUCAAUACCAUAGAACCCGCCAAGCUUGUCAUUAAGCUCAGGGCCCUGGGUCUGAACCCCGCCCUGUGCAAUUGGGUCCUGGACUUCCUGACGGGCCCUCCCCCCAGGUGGUGAAGGUAGGCAACAACACCUCUACUAUGUUU